rnacentral:rRNA from 1 species
AAUAGAUACCCAGGUAGUCCACGCCGUAAACGAUGUCGACUUGGAGGUUGUUCCCUUGAGGAGUGGCUUCCGGAGCUAACGCGUUAAGUCGACCGCCUGGGGAGUACGGCCGCAAGGUUAAAACUCAAAUGAAUUGACGGGGGCCCGCACAAGCGGUGGAGCAUGUGGUUUAAUUCGAUGCAACGCGAAGAACCUUACCUACUCUUGACAUCCAGAGAACUUUCCAGAGAUGGAUUGGUGCCUUCGGGAACUCUGAGACAGGUGCUGCAUGGCUGUCGUCAGCUCGUGUUGUGAAAUGUUGGGUUAAGUCCCGCAACGAGCGCAACCCUUAUCCUUUGUUGCCAGCGGUUAGGCCGGGAACUCAAAGGAGACUGCCAGUGAUAAACUGGAGGAAGGUGGGGAUGACGUCAAGUCAUCAUGGCCCUUACGAGUAGGGCUACACACGUGCUACAAUGGCGCAUACAAAGAGAAGCGACCUCGCGAGAGCAAGCGGACCUCAUAAAGUGCGUCGUAGUCCGGAUUGGAGUCUGCAAC